rnacentral:rRNA from 1 species
GACAGAGGGUGCAAACGUUGUUCGGAAUUACUGGGCGUAAAGCGUGCGCAGGCGGUCUUGCAAGACAGAUGUGAAAUCCCCGGGCUUAACCUGGGAACUGCAUUUGUGACUGCAAGGCUGGAGUGCGGCAGAGGGGGAUGGGAAUUCCGCGUGUAGCAGUGAAAUGCGUAGAUAUGCGGAGGAACACCGAUGGCGAAGGCAAUCCCCUGGGCCUGCACUGACGCUCAUGCACGAAAGCGUGGGGAGCAAACAGG